CAGCCGCCGCGGUAAUACGUAGGGUGCGAGCGUUAAUCGGAUUUACUGGGCGUAAAGCGUGCGCAGGCGGCCCGUUAAGACAGGUGUGAAAUCCCUGGGCUCAACCUAGGAAUUGCGCUUGUGACUGGCGGGCUCGAGUACGGUAGAGGGGGGUGGAAUUCCUGGUGUAGCAGUGAAAUGCGUAGAGAUCAGGAGGAACACCGAUGGCGAAGGCAGCCCCCUGGGCCUGUACUGACGCUCAUGCACGAAAGCGUGGGGAGCAAACAGGAUUAGAUACCCUGGUAGUCCACGCCCUAAACGAUGGGUACUAGCCGUUUGGUGCGCGAUAGCGCUGAUUGGCGAAGCUAACGCGUGAAGUACCCCGCCUGGGGAGUACGGCCGCAAGGUUGAAACUUAAAGGAAUUGGCGGG
rnacentral:rRNA from 1 species